GCUGGGCAUGGUGGCGGGUGCCUGUAAUCCCAGCUACCUGGGGGGCUGAGGCAGGAGAAUCACUUGAGUCCGGGAGGUAGAGGUUGCAGUGAGCCCAGACUGUGCCACUGUACUCCAGCCUGGGCAAAAGAGUGAGACUCCGUCUCAA
rnacentral:SRP_RNA from 1 species